rnacentral:lncRNA from 1 species
CUUCCUUUUCCUCUUCCUGGCUUGCAGAUGGCUGCUUUCUAGCUAUAUUCUCGUGUGACUGUCAGAAAGAGAGCUCUGGUUUCUUUCUCUCAUAAAAUUACUCAUCCAAUCAUAGAGACUAUCUAUGACCUUAUCUAAGCUGAAUCUCUUCCCAAAGAAAUAUCUUCCACUUCCCAGCACAUUGGGGCUUCGGUACAAGAGUGGGAGGUGGGAGUACAAACACACAAGUAUUUAGUCUGUAAAAGAGUAGAAAUGUAUGUGGAUGCCACAUGAUUAGGUCCAACCCUAGCCCAGCAGUCCCCAAACACUGGAGCACCGGAAUAAAGAGCAACAAACCAACAGCAGUGAAGAAAUGCUGAUGGAGUCUCCUCUGCAUAUCUCAGAGGGAGGGGAGAGGCACACAGUGGGCAACAUCAUUUACCAUAUGUUCAGCAACAUCCACAGCUCAGAAUCAACAAUGGGCAGAGGUUGGCUCCUUUGGAUGACAUUACUGAGCAUGCUCAGUGAUUCCCUAGAUAAUCCUUUCUUUGGUAGAUGCCUAGGAUGUCAACAAUCUGGUAAUAGAAGAGAUGCUGUAAAUUAACUUGACUCAAAGAGCUCCAACAGAGAAAUAUCCAUCAAGAUGGGAAAGAUUACACACAGGAAAGAGGCUAGCAUGGCAACAUGAGACAUCAUACAGAGAAGAUUCUGGGAAAGCAGGAUGUUAUUCCAAGACUUGGCUCUGUUUUUAUAUUUUUACACGUGUCAUAUACUGUAGUUUCAGCAGUAUUUUAUCUGUGCUGGAAUUAUAAAUGAUGGGAACUGAGCACUAUCUACCAAGUUUUAGAAUUCAGCAAUUCUGCCAGUAUGAUGGAUACUCAAGCACCUACUUGUCCCGUGGUAAACAGCAUGGUAGGCCCAAGAAAACCUCCCAAGACUCACAGAAACUCAAGUCAAUGCCAAUAUCACAGAGCUCUAGCUGACUGAGAGUCUGGCCCAUGGGAAAGGUUUUG